UACGUAGGGUGCGAGCGUUGUCCGGAAUUAUUGGGCGUAAAGGGCUCGUAGGCGGUUUGUCACGUCGGGAGUGAAAACUCAGGGCUUAACCCUGAGCCUGCUUCCGAUACGGGCAGACUAGAGGUAUGCAGAGGUCGAUGGAAUUGCCGGUGUAGUGGUGAAAUGCGUAGAGAUCGGCAGGAACACCCAGGGGGAAACCAGUCGACUGGGCAGCACCUGACGCUGAGGCGCGAAAGCCAGGGGAGCGAACGGG
rnacentral:rRNA from 1 species